rnacentral:rRNA from 1 species
UACGUAGGGUGCAGGCGUUAAUCGGAAUUACUGGGCGUAAAGCGUGCGCAGGCGGUUUCUUAAGUCAGAUGUGAAAGCCCCGGGCUUAACCUGGGAACCGCGUUUGAAACUGGGAGACUUGAGUGUGGCAGAGGGGGGGUGGAAUUCCACGUGUAGCAGUGAAAUGCGUAGAUAUGUGGAGGAACACCGAUGGCGAAGGCAGCCCCCCUGGGUUAA